GGAGGAGGUGCAGGGCCUGGCCAGAGCGGGCCUGGCCACGGGCAAGGGACAGCGACCGCCUGGACGGGGGCAGGUGAGCGCGGCGCAGGCCCCGGCCCGCCGUGUCCGCGGUGCGCACGAGCGGCCAGCAGAGGGCGGCAGAGAGCCAGGAGAGGCCCGCGGAGGAGCCCGCGCCGGCCACGAAGCUCAGCUCCGCGCCGCGCGGACCCACCGAGCCCGCGCUCAGACGCUCCAGCUCCGCCGAGAGGCCGCUCGCGCCGGGUCCUUCCUCUUCCCCAAGUGCAGGCAGAGCCCCCGGAGCCAUGGCCAGCCCUUCCGGCAGCUCCGAAGCCACUGGCAAGCCCCGAGGCAGGGAUGGCCGGCCCAGGAGGGAGGAGGACGACGUCCCUCCCGAGGAGAAGAGGCUGCGCCUGGGGCUGGAGGGGGGAAGCGCACAGCCCGAGGACUGCGAGGACGGGGAGGACGCGCCGCGGCCGGGCAGGGAGGAGACCGGCACCCAGACAGGUGGCGACGGCAGAGGA
rnacentral:sRNA from 1 species